CCCCUGAAAGAACAUCAGGUUGAUAGGUCAGAGGUGUAAGCGCAGUAAUGUGUUAAGCUGACUGAUACUAAUAGGUCGAGGGCUUGAUCUA
rnacentral:rRNA from 1 species